UGGGUUUGAUCCUGGCUCAGAUUGAACGCUGGCGGAAUGCUUUACACAUGCAAGUCGAACGGCAGCACGGACUUCGGUCUGGUGGCGAGUGGCGAACGGGUGAGUAAUGUAUCGGAACGUGCCCAGUCGUGGGGGAUAACGUAGUGAAAAUUACGCUAAUACCGCAUACGAUCUAUGGAUGAAAGCGGGGGAUCGCAAGACCUCGCGCGAUUGGAGCGGCCGAUAUCAGAUUAGGUAGUUGGUGGGGUAAAGGCCCACCAAGCCAACGAUCUGUAGCUGGUCUGAGAGGACGACCAGCCACACUGGAACUGAGACACGGUCCAGACUCCUACGGGAGGCAGCAGUGGGGAAUUUUGGACAAUGGGCGAAAGCCUGAUCCAGCCAUUCCGCGUGCAGGAUGAAGGCCCUCGGGUUGUAACCUGCUUUUGUACAGAACGAAAAGGUUUCUACUAAUACUAGGAGCUCAUGACGGUACUGUAAGAAUAAGCACCGGCUAACUACGUGCCAGCCGCCGCGGUAAUUC
rnacentral:rRNA from 1 species